CCCUUGGUAGCUCAACUGGUGGAGCAGCAGACUGUAGUUCUGAAGGUUGUUGGUUCAAGUCCAACCCAAGGGA